AAGGGCACCACAAGAACGCGUGGAGCAUGUGGCUUAAUUUGACUCAACGCGGGAAAUCUUACCGGGUCCGGACACACUGAGGAUUGACAGGCAAUAUUGGAAUGUGUUUUUACGCAUUCCAUGUUAAAUAUGCUAGUCCUUUCAUGAUUAUGUGAUAGGUGGUGCAUGGCCGUUCUUAGUUCGUGGAGUGAUCUGUCUGCUUAAUUGCGUUUCACUAAGGGCUUAUUAAUUACGUGUGUAGCACUCUCUUUGACCCCUCUUUAUUGAGCGCGUGUCUUAGAUGAUUAUGCUCGCACAAUUAAGUCCUGAAAGCAACGAACGUGACCGCAACCUCUUGUUGCCUUUUGCACAAUCCUUCGCUUUAUUAUCUUCUGAUUUUAGGCGAAGAAAAAGAGGCUAUUAAACUAGAGGGACCGCUGUAAUCUUUUUAAACCAGAGGAAGGUUGCGGCAAUAACAGGUCUGUGAUGCCCUUAGAUGUUCCGGGCUGCACACGUGCUACAAUGAUUAUUGCAGUGAGCAUCUCAUACUAUACACCGCUUGCGCGAAGUCCUUUUGGCGCAUUUUUUUGUGUUCAAUUGUGAUUCUUUUGCGCGCGGUAAAGCCUGCUUCGAAAGUAAGCGGGUAAUCAAUUAGAAGUAAUGAUUUCCUUUUUCAGCACACAUAUAUACGGCGUUGUUACCCGGAAUGGGCUUGUUCUCGUUCUCUGUGUGUAUCAAUGUUUUCCGUAUGUGCAAUUGUCAAUUCAUGGUGGGGACAGACCAUUGUUAAUUGUUGGUCUCGGUCUUAACUAGGAAUGCCUUGUACGGGUCUUUGGUUCAACAGACCACCCGGAAUACGUCCCUGCCCUUUGUACACACCGCCCGUCGCUCUUACCGAUGGACUUCUCUGUGAGUUUGAGGGACUGGAAUCUUUGUCGCUUGCGUCAAUACCUCUAUGGAAACUUAAACGAACAGUGUGGUCUAAAGGAAAGAGAAGUCGAACAAGGCA
rnacentral:rRNA from 1 species